GCUGAAAGCAUCUAAGCGCGAAGCUGGCCCCGAGAUGAGUCAUCCCUAGAGCUUCGAGCUCUCUAAAGGGUUGUYSUAGACUASRACGUUGAUAGGCAGGGUGUGUAAGCGCUGUGAGGCGUUGAGCUAACCUGUACUAAUUGCCCGUGAGGCUUAACCAUACAACACCCAAG
rnacentral:rRNA from 1 species